rnacentral:rRNA from 1 species
GACGAACGCUGGCGGCGUGCUUAACACAUGCAAGUCACGGGGGCCCGCAAGGGCAACCGGCGAACGGGUGUGUAACACGUGAGCAACUUACCGAUUUGUGGGGGAUAGCCUGCCUAACGGCAGGGUAAUACCGCAUACGCUCUUUGGGUGGAGUCACCUGAAGAGGAAACCUCCGGGGCAAAUCGAGGGGCUCGCGGCCUAUCAGCUAGUUGGUGCGGGUAAUGGCCCACCAAGGCGACGACGGGAGCUGGUCUGAGAGGAUGGCCAGCCACAUUGGGACUGAGAUACGGCCCAGACUCCUACGGGAGGCAGCAGUGGGGAAUCUUGCGCAAUGGACGAAAGUCUGACGCAGCGACGCCGCGUGAGGGAGGAAGCUC